rnacentral:rRNA from 1 species
GACGAACGCUGGCGGCGUGCUUAACACAUGCAAGUCGAACGAAGAGCGAUGGAAGCUUGCUUCUAUCAAUCUUAGUGGCGAACGGGUGAGUAACGCGUAAUCAACCUGCCCUUCAGAGGGGGACAACAGUUGGAAACGACUGCUAAUACCGCAUACGAUCUAACCUCGGCAUCGAGGAUAGAUGAAAGGUGGCCUCUACAUGUAAGCUAUCACUGAAGGAGGGGAUUGCGUCUGAUUAGCUAGUUGGAGGGGUAACGGCCCACCAAGGCGAUGAUCAGUAGCCGGUCUGAGAGGAUGAACGGCCACAUUGGGACUGAGACACGGCCCAGACUCCUACGGGAGGCAGCAGUGGGGAAUCUUCCGCAAUGGACGAAAGUCUGACGGAGCAACGCCGCGUGAGUGAUGACGGCCUUCGGGUUGUAAAGCUCUGUUAAUCGGGACGAAAGGCCUUCUUGCGAAUAGUUAGAAGGAUUGACUUACCGGAAUAGAAAGCCACGCA